UACGUAGGGUGCAAGCGUUGUCCGGAAUUAUUGGGCGUAAAGAGCUCGUAGGCGGUGCGUCACGUCGGCCGUGAAAACCUGGGGCUUAACUCUGGGCGUGCGGUCGAUACGGGCAUCACUGGAGUUCGGCAGGGGAGACUGGAAUUCCUGGUGUAGCGGUGAAAUGCGCAGAGUAUCAGGAGGAACAGCCGGUGGCGAAGGCGGGUCUCUGGGCCGAUACUGACGCUGAGGAGCGAAAGCGUGGGGAGCGAACAGG
rnacentral:rRNA from 1 species